CCCCUGCUUAAGCACCUAAUCUAUACAGAUGCUGCAGAGCUGAGUCGAAGUAACAUGCUGCCUCUUCUGUUAAAGCACAUUCUUUGGGGGUUUUCUUAAUGUUUGCAAGCAGCCAAGGCAGCCCAGACAUGAUGCUGGUAAUGUCCUAGAUGCAGGCCUGAAAAUGGGAGUGAGUGAGCAGUGCAUAUUGUCAGAGCAGUGAACUCCCUUGCACUGUCUAAUAUAGUUUAGACAUGCCCACAUGAUUUCUUCUUUCCCAAUCCAACUCAAAGUAUGUCCAUAGUUCUGCUUUUCUUCUGUGACAAGGGGUAGAGGCAAAGGUUUCCAGUUCAUUAUACUGGGGGCAGAAUCAGCAGACUGUUCAGGUCCAUUGAGAGAAAUCCCUGUAGUCAAUGCUCCAUUAAGUACUUCCAUUAGUAUUAGCAAUGCUAUCACAAGACAAAGAAUGGACCUAUCUAUAAUACUCCAAAAUCUGAUCAUAAGUUUUCAUAGAAUGGAAAAAUAAAAACAGCAAAGAAAACUAAAAAAGAGGCAUAAAAGUCCACUCUGAAACUAUGCAUGUGAGUUUUCCAAGAGAUGCAAUACACAGAACAGACUUAGUAACAUCUUCCAAAAAUGUAGUAACGAAAACCUUUUCGGGGAAUGAGGAAGUGAUCUCAUUGCUCUGUCCACCUCAUCUUAUACAGUAAAUGUACAGUAAACACACAUACAUUUUCAUGAAUAAAUUCCUUUGCAUACAAUAAAAUUCUGUUCUUCUGGUCAGAGCCUGUGCUGUGUUUCUACGAGAUUUAGCGAAGAGCUUGAUGCCCAAGGGGAGGAGGAAGCUAUGGUGGCUGUAAGAUACUUAUAUCAAUGUUGGGCUGUUCCACCCACAUCUAGGACUCCCCCA